rnacentral:rRNA from 1 species
GAUGAACGCUGGCGGCGUGCCUAACACAUGCAAGUCGAACGGGAACCCUUUUAUUGCAGCUUCGUCCGAUUUAGCUGGUUUCUAGUGGCGGAGGGGUGAGUAACGCGUGGGUUACCUGCCCUAUACAGGGGGAUAACAAUCAGCAAUGGUUGCUAAUACCGUAUAAGCGCACAGAGCCGCAUUGCGCGGCUUGCAAAACUCCGGUGGGAUAGGACGGACUCGCGUUGGAUUAGCCAGAUGGCAGGGGAAGGGCACACAACAGCGACGUUCCUUAGCCGGGCAGAGAGGGUGGACGGCCACAUUGGGACUGAGACACGGCCCGGACUCCUACGGGAGGGAGCAAAGGGGAAUAUUGCACAAUGGGGGAAACCCUGAUGCAGCGACGCCGCGUGAAGGAAGAAGUAUCGCGGGAAGUAAACUUCUAUCAGCAGGGAAGAUAGUGACGGUACCUGACUAAGAAGCCCCGGCUAACUACGUG